UGAGGAAUAUUGGACAAUGGGCGCAAGCCUGAUCCAGCCAUGCCGCGUGCAGGAAGACGGCCCUAUGGGUUGUAAACUGCUUUUAUACGGGAAGAAUAAGGGACACGUGUGUCCUGGUGACGGUACCGUAAGAAUAAGGACCGGCUAACUCCGUGCCAGCAGCCGCGGUAAUACGGAGGGUCCGAGCGUUAUCCGGAAUUAUUGGGUUUAAAGGGUCCGCAGGCGGGCAAUUAAGUCAGGGGUGAAAUGGUGCGGCUCAACCGUAGCACUGCCCUUGAUACUGGUUGUCUUGAGUCAUAGUGAAGUGGCCGGAAUAUGUAGUGUAGCGGUGAAAUGCAUAGAUAUUACAUAGAACACCGAUUGCGAAGGCAGGUCACUAACUAUCGACUGACGCUGAUGGACGAAAGCGUGGGGAGCGAACGGGAUUAGAUACCCCGGUAGUCCACGCCGUAAACGAUGGAUACUAGCUGUCCGCUACCUUGAGUAGUGGGCGGCCCAGCGAAAGUGAUAAGUAUCCCACCUGGGGAGUACGUUCGCAAGAAUG
rnacentral:rRNA from 1 species